CAGCUGACUGGAACAACAGGCCCCGACCAACUGACUGGAACAACAGGCCCCGACCGACUGAUGACCAACUGACUGGAGCAACGGGCCCCGACCGACUGAUGACCAACUGACUGGAGCAACGGGCCCCGACCGACUUUUGACCAACUGACUGGAGCAACGGGCCCCGACCGACUGAUGACCAACUGACUGGAGCAACGGGCCCCGACCGACUGAUGACCAACUGACUGGAGCAACAGGCCCCGACCAACUGACUGGAGCAACGGGCCCCGACCAACUGACUGGAGCAACGGGCCCCGACCAACUGACUGGAGCAACAGGCCCCGACCAACUGACUGGAGCAACGGGCCCCGACCAGCUGACUGGAGCAACGGGCCCCGACCAGCUGACUGGAGCAACGGGCCCCGACCAGCUGACUGGAGCAACGGGCCCCGACCAACUGACGACCAGCUGACUGGAAUGACGGAUUGCGGGUAAAUCCCUAAUGGCACCCUAUUCCCUACAUAGUGCACCACUUUUGACUAGCGUCCUUUAGGCCUCGGUCAAAAGAAGUGCACUAAAUGGGAGACGGGUUGUCACGUGGGACGCAGUCGGCACUCUGCAACUAUUUCAAGUGACUGUCCUGGAGAUUACUGAAAUAUGUGACCGCAGGGGAAAGGAGAGGCUCUUAACUAACAUCUAGGGGAAAGGAGAGGCUCUUAACUAACGUCUAGGGGAAUGGAGAGGCUCUUAACUAACGUCUAGGGGAAAGGAGGGGCUCUUAACUAACAUCUAGGGGAAAGGAGAGGCUCUUAACUAACAUCUAGGGGAAAGGAGAGGCUCUUAACUAACGUCUAGGGGAAAGGAGAGGCUCUUAACUAACGUCUAGGGGAAAGGAGAGGCUCUUAACUAACAUCUAGGGGAAAGGAGGUUAACUAACAUCUAGGGGAAAGGAGGUUAACUAACAUCUAGGGGAAAGGAGAGGCUCUUAACUAACAUCUAGGGGAAAGGAGGUUAACUAACAUCUAGGGGAAAGGAGGUUAACUAACAUCUAGGGGAAAGGAGGUUAACUAACAUCUAGGGGACAGGAGGUUAACUAACAUCUAGGGGAAAGGAGGUUAACUAACAUCUAGGGGAAAGGAGGUUAACUAACAUCUAGGGGAAAGGAGGUUAACUAACAUCUAGGGGAAAGGAGGUUAACUAACAUCUAGGGGACAGGAGGUUAACUAACAUCUAGGGGAAAGGAGGUUAACUAACAUCUAGGGGACAGGAGGUUAACUAACAUCUAGGGGAAAGGAGGUUAACUAACAUCUAGGGGAAAGGAGGUUAACUAACAUCUAGGGGACAGGAGGUUAACUAACAUCUAGGGGAAAGGAGGUUAACUAACAUCUAGGGGAAAGGAGGUUAACUAACAUCUAGGGGAAAGGAGGUUAACUAACAUCUAGGGGAAAGGAGGUUAACUAACAUCUAGGGGAAAGGAGGUUAACUAACAUCUAGGGGACAGGAGGUUAACUAACAUCUAGGGGAAAGGAGAGGGGACUGUGUUACAAUUUAACAUACAUUAGUUAUUUCUGGUUGUUCUAAGAUGAAUAAGUGUAUUAUAUUAUCAUGAGUUCCUAGUCUAGUUGAGAUGUAACUCUUUCUUAUGACCUUAAAAUAUUGUUCCUUUAUUGAAAAUUAAUUAACGUCUUUGUCAUUGACAGUAAAAUGGACAUGCAGACAUUAUUC